UUCAUUCCUUGAGAUAAGGAGCUAAUACAAUAUCGCUUUCUCUCUCUAAACCAGAGAAAAAACCCUAAGCGAAAAAUCAGAGAAAACCUUCCGCCGCACCGUCUUCUUACUCAGAUUUAGUCCAUUAUGGACUAGAUCUAAGUAGGAAUCAUUCCCUAGUGUGUAGUUCUUACCUUUAUAGCUUUAAUUUAUUUAGUUUGCUCUGGUUUUAGUGAUUUUCCCUUUCUGAAAAACCCAAACCUACUUCAAAUAAUCAUGGUUCUUCUCGGCUAGGUCUCCGUCUCCACCGGCCUCGAUGAAAUUAAGAGUUUUUUGAUUGAUUGUUGUGAUGCCCAACCUUUAUUAAUGGGAUUUCUGAUAUAUUUUUCGAUGGUUGCUGCUAUGCUGUGUUUGGUAUUCAAUUGAGGAGGUCUCGGCAAUUUGGUUCACCUUGAAUAAUACUGGCCUUGUUCUCGCACAAUUCUCCGAUCAUUUCAUCAAGAUGUCAACGAAACCUUCAAGGACAUGGAUCAGAGAAUUCUUCGAGCAACAAACAGAGCUAAAGGCACAUUAGAAGAUAUGUAUCAAGCAAAAAAAACGAGAGAUAGACAGACACCAUUCGGGCAGUACUCCUCAGCAUAUGGAUGUGAAUGCUUGACUGGAAACUUCAUUCAAUUGCAUCGAACCCCUCUCCUAUCAACUAAGUUUAUAUGGACAUCGUUGUGUCCAUCAAAAAUACAGUUUUUCUUGUGGAAAGGAUUGACCGAAGGCCUUUGGACCUUCGAAUUCGACAUAUUUUUCCUUUAAAACUCCUAGUGCAGGUAACUAUCACAAAUUUCUUGAAAGCAACAUGGAACAAUUUUUUUAUUUUAUUUUUGAAGCAUGGAAAAAUUUUGGUUAUUGAACUACUACUCUACACCAUAAACUUUUGCUUUUUA